CCUUCUGAAGGCAUUUGGACACUUCAGGAGGCCUAGCAGGAUAAUCCUUGGGGUGGAUACUUUGAAUUCCUGACAGCAGGGGAAAUAGGAACUUGCUGGUGUAAGAACAGUGUUGAGAACUGGAGAAGGAAAGAUCUCAGUGUUCACACACAAAAAAGAGCUAUAGAAGCCUCAAAAUCUCAUUUUACAGCUCAUGGAGACUCAUCAGGGUAUCAGGGUGGAUUGUUUGCUGUUUACUGUGCACCAGAACUGGCAAAAGGCCCAGCAAUACCAAGACAAACUGUGCCUGUCACAUUGCAGGAGUGUCACAACAUCAGUAAUGGCAGAGGGGAAGCUGCAGUAGGCAUCACAGAUAUCCUGUCCAGGGUCCUCCUUCUUUUGCAAUUUACAGGAUGGGUUAUGGAGUUGGUAGAGAAUCAGACUCUUGAUAAUCCUGUCUUUAAUGGGCGAGGUCCAAGCAGGUUGUCUGGCUUGGAUGUUGUGCACAAGUGGGUUUGUGGAGGCUGGAACUUGUCUUGGAGCAUGUGUGCCACCAGCUCUAUGCCAAACUCUUCUAUCUGACCUUGUAGCUGAUUGACUUUUCCUGGAGUUGUAUUCAGUAAAGUCAGAAAAGGGACAAUUUUUACAAGUGAUGCCUGAGUAGGAAUUCUGCUGGUUGGAAGAUGAUGGUUGGAACUGUACCAUUAAAAAUGAUCCACUGCAGUCUCAAGGGAGAGGUUGUAAAAAGCAUGACAGUCAUGACUCAGUUGGUCCAGCAAGAAGGCAUCUGAUCUACUGUUUUUUAAUUCAUAGUGUGGUUCCUGAGUGACCAAUGUAAUCAUUGUGGCCUGAAGAACUUCACAUACAAAGGCAAGAAGGUGCUGCAUUAUAAGUGAGGGAAUGUCCCUGUGAGCUCACAGUAGGACUGAGAAAAUGGGCUUGAUGCCAGAAGGCAGAUAGACCUUUCCCCUACUAUUCCUCAUUCACAUUUCUUGCAUUUGUGUGGUGGUCAGUGCUGUUCUGCCCAUCAGCUGGGUCUGGAAUAAAGACAAUGGAUUGCAUAGAUAAACUAGAGACCUCUGGAAAGGUCUGAACAUCUGAAGUAGUUGAGAUGGGUCACCAGAAAGCUAUGGACUCAAACCAACCUCUUUAUUGAACAAGCUCAGCAGGUUUUGAGUAGCAGGCACUGAGGGCCAGAUGUUUGAUCCUAAGGACAGAGAGAGGAAGGCAUGCUCCUUCCUCCAAGUGCCUUUUCACCAGCCACCAAGCCAAGGGAUUGCAAAUGCCUGCCCAAUGUUUUCUGGGCCCAUUAGAGGAGCCCAGCUGGCGUGAGAGCUGCCGCACUUGGGCA